rnacentral:rRNA from 1 species
CCUACGGGAGGCAGCAGUAGGGAAUAUUGCUCAAUGGGGGAAACCCUGAAGCAGCAACGCCGCGUGGAGGAUGAAGGUUUUCGGAUUGUAAACUCCUUUUGUUAGAGAGGAUAAUGACGGUAUCUAACGAAUAAGCACCGGCUAACUCCGUGACAGCAGCCGCGGUAAUACGGAGGGUGCAAGCGUUACUCGGAAUCACUGGGCGUAAAGAGCGCGUAGGCGGGAUAGCAAGUCAGAUGUGAAAUCCUAUGGCUUAACCAUAGAACUGCAUUUGAAACUGUUAUUCUAGAGUAUGGGAGAGGUAGGUGGAAUUCUUGGUGUAGGGGUAAAAUGCGUAGAGAUCAAGAGGAAUACUGAUUGCGAAGGCGACCUGCUAGAACAUAACUGACGCUGAUGCGCGAAAGCGUGGGGAGCAAACAGGAUUAGAUACCCGGGUAGUC